GAUGAACGCUGGCGGCGUGCCUAAUACAUGCAAGUCGAGCGAACAGACGAGGAGCUUGCUCCUCUGACGUUAGCGGCGGACGGGUGAGUAACACGUGGAUAACCUACCUAUAAGACUGGGAUAACUUCGGGAAACCGGAGCUAAUACCGGAUAAUAUAUUGAACCGCAUGGUUCAAUAGUGAAAGACGGUUUUGCUGUCACUUAUAGAUGGAUCCGCGCCGCAUUAGCUAGUUGGUAAGGUAACGGCUUACCAAGGCAACGAUGCGUAGCCGACCUGAGAGGGUGAUCGGCCACACUGGAACUGAGACACGGUCCAGACUCCUACGGGGGCAGCAGUAGGGAAUCUUCCGCAAUGGGCGAAAGCCUGACGGAGCAACGCCGCGUGAGUGAUGAAGGUCUUCGGAUCGUAAAACUCUGUUAUUAGGGAAGAACAAAUGUGUAAGUAACUAUGCACGUCUUGACGGUACCUAAUCAGAAAGCCACGGCUAACUACGUG
rnacentral:rRNA from 1 species